rnacentral:rRNA from 1 species
UACGUAGGGGGCAAGCGUUGUCCGGAAUCAUUGGGCGUAAAGCGCGCGUAGGCGGCCCGGUAAGUCCGCUGUAAAAGUCCAGGGCUCAACCCUGGAAAGCCGGUGGAUACUGUCGGGCUAGAGUCCGGAAGAGGCGAGUGGAAUUCCUGGUGUAGCGGUGAAAUGCGCAGAUAUCAGGAGGAACACCAAUGGCGAAGGCAGCUCGCUGGGACGGUACUGACGCUGAGACGCGAAAGCGUGGGGAGCGAACAGG